CACGAAAUGGUCGUUCAGCACCUGGGUGUCCAGCAUCAAGUAGGACAGAUCCAGCGUCUUCGCGCUGGAAUCCGAAUCGCUGGAGUCUGACGUGUAAUUCUCCAUGAAUGGCGGCUGGAAAUUUGUGAAAACAAUGUUAGAAAAGCGAAGUAAAAUUUUUACUCUUCCCCUUGCCACGGACAGAAGCAGAAGGAAGUCGAACGUUCCAGGAAGAAGAAGUCUAAAGAAGUGAACUCGGUUGAAAAAGCAAAUAACUGUACGAUAUUUGCUCGGUUAAACAAAGAAUUUUUGUUCAAUUCAAUUUCUUCGUUCGUCGGCUUAUCACUUGCACGCGCAAACACUGUGUGUGCAAACAGUAAUCACGACGAAUUUUUAUAUAGAAUACGAUGCCAGUUCCCCACCGAUAUUUAAGUCACAUUUUACCGAUCUAUCAAUCGGAUAUCUUCUCUCGUGUGCAUUGCAUUGGAGAUAAGUGAAAUUGGAAAAAUUUGGAAACGUUCGAAAUGAUAAAAAUGAUGAUAUUUCAACGAUGCUCGUAAUUAUUUAUCGUUCAUUAAUUUUUAAUUUCACCGUUCGAUAGAUAUAUUUAGAUAAAUUAUCACUGCUAGCAAAGCAUGACUAAACAAAUAGGCGGGCAACAACUUUCAUUAACUUAUUUAUCAACGAAGAUGCUUUACAUUUCGUUAGAAAUAAAAAAAAAGAAAAAUAAA